GUUGUUGCGGUUAAAAGCUCGUAGUUGGAGUUCUGCCAGGUGCCGCCUGGUCCGCCCCAGUGGUGAGUACGUGGCGCGCAUUUGGCCCUUUCAAGGGGAGCGUAUCUGCACUUUAUUGUGUGGUGCGGGAUCCUUGACUUUUACUUUGAGGAAAUAGGAGUGUUCCGAGCAGGCUCUCGUCGUGCACAGCUCAGCAUGGAAUAAUAGCAUUGGACCUCGAUUCUAAGCUGUUGGUUGCCAGAAGCGAGGUAAUGAUGAAGAGGGAUAGUUGGGGGCAUUCGUAUUUAACUGUCAGAGGUGAAAUUCUUGUAUUUGUUAAAGACGGACUACUGCGAAAGCAUCUGCCAUGGAUGUUUUCAUUGAUCAAGAACGAAAGUUAGGGGAUCGAAGACGAUCAGAUACCGUCCUAGUCUUAACUAUAAACCAUGCCGGCUAGAGAUCGGAGGUUGUUCGUUUUGUGACGCCUUCAGCAUCUUGAGAGAAAUCAAAGCCUUUGGGUUCCGGGGGGAGUAUGGUCGCAAGGCU
rnacentral:rRNA from 1 species